GCUCUCUUCGGCAGCACAUAUAAUAAACUCGGAAUGAUACAAGGAUUAGUAUGGCCCCUGGGGAAGGAUGGUGUGCACAUUCAUGAAACGCCCAUUCCUCCC